AAGUCGUAACAAGGUUUCCGUAGGUGAACCUGCGGAAGGAUCAUAGCGAAUCUGAAUAACAUCAUUUUAACCUGUGAAGUGGCAUCAGAGCAGUAGUGCAUCGCACUGCUGCCUCCUAUGCUUGUACCCACACAUUUACUCACCUGUCUUACAACGUAAAUAUUUACAAAACUCCUAGCAAUGGAUCUCUUGGCUUCU
rnacentral:misc_RNA from 1 species